CUGCGGCAGGCUUAACACAUGCAAGUCGAGCGGAAACGAUGAUAGCUUGCUAUCAGGCGUCGAGCGGCGGACGGGUGAGUAAUACUUAGGAAUCUACCUAGUAGUGGGGGAUAGCUCGGGGAAACUCGAAUUAAUACCGCAUACGACCUACGGGAGAAAGGGGGCAACUUGUUGCUCUCGCUAUUAGAUGAGCCUAAGUCGGAUUAGCUAGAUGGUGGGGUAAAGGCCUACCAUGGCGACGAUCUGUAGCUGGUCUGAGAGGAUGAUCAGCCACACCGGGACUGAGACACGGCCCGGACUCCUACGGGAGGCAGCAGUGGGGAAUAUUGGACAAUGGGGGCAACCCUGAUCCAGCCAUGCCGCGUGUGUGAAGAAGGCCUUUUGGUUGUAAAGCACUUUAAGCAGUGAAGAAGACUCCAUGGUUAAUACCCAUGGACGAUGACAUUAGCUGCAGAAUAAGCACCGGCUAACUCUGUGCCAGCAGCCGCGGUAAUACAGAGGGUGCAAGCGUUAAUCGGAAUUACUGGGCGUAAAGCGAGCGUAGGUGGCUUGAUAAGUCAGAUGUGAAAUCCCCGGGCUUAACCUGGGAACUGCAUCUGAUACUGUUAGGCUAGAAUAGGUGAGAGGAAGGUAGAAUUCCAGGUGUAGCGGUGAAAUGCGUAGAGAUCUGGAGGAAUACCGAUGGCGAAGGCAGCCUUCUGGCAUCAUAUUGACACUGAGGUUCGAAAGCGUGGGUAGCAAACAGGAUUAGAUACCCUGGUAGUCCACGCCGUAAACGAUGUCUACUAGUCGUUGGGUCCCUUGAGGACUUAGUGACGCAGCUAACGCAAUAAGUAGAC
rnacentral:rRNA from 1 species